rnacentral:misc_RNA from 1 species
GGUGUUAUACUUGGGUGGGAGUGGUCC